rnacentral:lncRNA from 1 species
UGUUACAUUUUUUCAGCUUACAUGAAGUCAUUUAGAUACACCAUUGACAUAAAAGUUAAUGCUUCAAAUAAAGCUGUGAUCGACCGUUUGAGGGCAAUGAUCAGUGGACCGAAAUUUCCAAUGUGUGUCAAGAAAGGCAUGAAAAUAUCCAGUACAAACAUCACUACAGUUUGUCUCUCAAAUAUGAGCAAAACUGAGUGCAGCUGUGAGAAUCAGUACAUUUGGUCCUCUGAUCAAUGCUCUAAAUAUGCAUUUUGUGGCUCAAGUCAAAAUACCAGAUGUGGAUGCAUCACUUCUCUCCCAACUGAUGGUUCAUUCUGCCGACCACAACCUGCUUACUUAAAGUCAUUCAGAUACACCAUUGAAAUAAAAGCCAACACUUUAAGAAAAGCUGUAAUCGACCAAUUGAAGGCGAUGAUCAAUGGACAGAAAUUUCCAAUUUGUGUCAAAAAAGACAUGAAAAUCUCCAGUGCAAACAUCACUACAGUUUGUCUCUCAAAUUCAAGCAAAACUGAGUGUAGAUGUGAGAAUCAGUACAUCUGGUCUUCUGAACAAUGCUCUAAACAUGGCGUUUGUGGUCCAAAUCAAAAUAAUACAUGUGGAUGCAUCACUUCACUCCCAACUGAUGGAACAACAUGUCAUCCAGCACCAGGUACAGUAAACUCUUCCCAUUUAUUUCAAAAUGAAGUUGGCAGUUGGCUUGAUUGUGACAUGACAUGGUUUCUGAACAGAUAAUUAUUUUCACUUUUUUACAAUUGUUUUCAGCUCCUUUGAAAUCAUUCAGAUACACCAUUGAUAUAAAAGUUAAUGCUUCAGAAAAGGCUGUGAUCGACCGUUUGAGGGCGAUGAUCAGUGGACAGAAACUCCCAAUGUGCAUCAAGAAAGGCAUGAAAAUAUCCAGUACAAACAUCACUACAGGUGAGAGAAAUAGG